UCAUUGCUGAGGAGUCCCAUAAUAGGACGAAACGGCCGUCCAGUGU
rnacentral:hammerhead_ribozyme from 1 species